CUUUAUCUCUGGAAGCAACACAACAAGCGGAACCCAUGCUUGCUUACACAGAACACAGAUAGGCAGCUAUCAGUCAGACCAAUGACAAUGCUAACAUGUUCACUCCAUGAUCCAAAUUUGAAAGUUCAAUUUUCUGAAACAAAAAAGAAGAAUGAGGUAAAAACAAUCAAAAUCAAAGCAGAUAUGCACUUUGACUACCACAGAAAAAUCUUUUUCGUACACAAGAAUCCGAGCAAAAGUUAUCCUUCACAUAGUAGGAUAUUGAAAUCAUAAAGCAUGCAAAUGGUUUGAGACGUAAUGCUUUAUAUAAAUGACCAGGUUGCUCGCACUUUAUAACCCAUUCAGGUUUUGCACCCAGAACCUAAGACAGCAAUCUAGCCGCCACCAAAUCAUCCAUAAAACUCCCCCGCCCAAUAGAAUAAGAUUUAUGCAGAAAGAUGGUAAUGCCGAUAAUCCGGGAAGAGUUCUCUUAGAAGAAGGAAAAAAAAGAUUCAUUCAUACACCUACAUAACAUUCCACUAGAAAAUAAAUUUCCAUUUUUGAAAGCUCAAUUUCAGCUCAAAAUCAAACUGCGAUUUCCAAUUUCAUAAAAUUCUAUAGGUCUAAAAUACUUCAACAACCAGGCAUUUAAAGAGAAUAAUCCAAUCAUACCGAAACAAAGUUCUAGUGAAGAAUUACAGUACAGUCAACACAAACAUUACUACUAGUCUACUACUACAACAACUACGCCUCAGUCCCACACAAGUUGCUAGGUCGACUAUAUGAAUACUCUCUGACCAUAUUUAUCUAUUUAAGCUCAACUCAUGUCAUCAUCAGACCAAACAAAACAGUCAUUUUUCAUGUUAAUAAUUACACAAGCAUAUAAUAUUGAAAGAAGCUUCACGGUGAAGAAUAACAGUAUAGUCAACACAAACAUUUCUGCUCAAUAAAUCAGCAAAUCUGAUAAACAUGUUAUUAUUCGUGCUAAUAAUUAUACAUUAAAGCACUGCGUGCAAUAAACCCCGCACACAACAUCCAUUAAAUCAAAUUCCCUAACUAAGCCUAAGAUUCAUUUCCCCAGGUUAACUUUUUUUUAAAAUGAAAUAAUACCUUUUAACUAGCUAAUUCAAUUUCAUCUUACACCACGGAUGUCAUAGAGAUCCGAAAGUUAAGCCAGAUAAACAUUAAUUUACUGCCGAAAAUUAAAAAAUCUGUAUAUAUACAUUAAAAAAAAAAAAACUACCAAUUAUCUCCCCAGUAAUCUCAGAAUAAGCAUAUAUCUCUUUUACUUAAUCAAUAGCCAGUAACAUAUGUCCAAUCAUAAACAAAUACAAAUACAAAUUCUAUUGCUCUAAAUAAGUAUAUACAAAAAAAAAAUCGAAAAUAUAUGAAUAUAUUACAAUUUUAUCCUCAUAAUUAUCAACUCUCCUACCGUGAAAUUCGCCGUCCGGCGACCGUCAAGCACAAAAAGUGAGGGGAGUAGUGAAGAAGGUGGGAGGGGGUGGGUGUACACAUAGAGAGAGAGGGUAAAGGUUCUGAUUCUUCCUCUUCUGAGUUGCGGGAAGAGAGAGAAAANN
rnacentral:lncRNA from 1 species